GACGAACGCUGGCGGCGUGCUUAACACAUGCAAGUCGAACGGAAAGGCCCUGCUUUUGUGGGGUGCUCGAGUGGCGAACGGGUGAGUAACACGUGAGUAACCUGCCCUUGACUUUGGGAUAACUUCAGGAAACUGGGGCUAAUACCGGAUAGGAUCUCCUGCUCCAUGGUGGGGGUUGGAAAUUUUCGGCGGUUGGGGAUGGACUCGCGGCUUAUCAGCUUGUUGGUGGGGUAGUGGCUUACCAAGGCUUUGACGGGUAGCCGGCCUGAGAGGGUGACCGGCCACAUUGGGACUGAGAUAGGGACCAGACUCCAACGGGAGGCAGUAGUGGGGAAUAUUGCACAAUGGGCGGAAGUGUGAUGCAGAAACGCCGCGUGCGGGAUGCCCGCCUUCGGGUUGUAAACAGCUUUCGCCUGUGACGAAGCGUGAGUGACGGUAAUGGGUAAAGAAGCACCGGCUAACUACGUG
rnacentral:rRNA from 1 species